rnacentral:rRNA from 1 species
UACGGGGGGGGCAAGCGUUGUUCGGAAUUACUGGGCGUAAAGGGCGCGUAGGCGGCCCGCUAAGUCGAACGUGAAAUCCCCAGGCUUAACCUGGGAACUGCGUCCGAUACUGGAUGGCUUGAAUCCGGGAGAGGGAUGCGGAAUUCCAGGUGUAGCGGUGAAAUGCGUAGAUAUCUGGAGGAACACCGGUGGCGAAGGCGGCAUCCUGGACCGGCAUUGACGCUGAGGAGCGAAAGCCAGGGGAGCAAACGGG